rnacentral:lncRNA from 1 species
UCCAACCUCUCACUAGAAAGAGCUUUCACAUAACAAUUAUCGUUCGGUGGCCGGUGGCUAUCGCCUCCGGUUACCAUCUUUUUUUUUGAUGUAUAUACUUCUAUCUGUAUGAUUGAUAAUUCCUUUCGCUUGGCGAUUCUCUCCUUUCACGAUGGUGACUUUUGUUGUGAUGUUUGAAUCUGGAUCGGAGUAAGACUUCAAGGCUGUUUCUUUGUUCUCUAAUGAAGAUUAAGUUAAUAAUCUUAAGAAUUUGCUUUCGCAGAAGUAUUCUGAUCCUGUUUUGCUUAAGUAGGGUCUUCUCUUUCCUCUUGGUCUGCAUUUGUUCCUUUUUUUAAAGGGAAUCAAUAUCUGCUCAAUUAAAUUGUGGAGCCAUUAAAUCGGCUUUGGAGUGGGGUCUCCUUGACAGAAAAGAAGCAGUGAUGUCAGAUUAACCUGGGCUGAUUCUAAUGGGGAUUUAGAAGAAUCGGCAUCUUCAAGAUGGUACAAUAAAGAUCUUAUAUUAUGUCAUAUGAGUCUUUCCUAGAGCUAUUUUCCCGAUGAUUAAUGGAGGUUCUUGCUUAAGCGACGGUUUAAGCGAAGGAUGAAGAUAGGGAAGUUCGUAAUCGUGCCCAACAACAACGCCGGUGGAGAUCAUAUUUCGCCGGUGGAGUUGCUAUCGUAAGCUUUUCUGGUCAUGCGAUGGCGCGUAGGGACACACGUCUUCUCAAACCAUUUGAUGUUUCAUGCAAAGCCUAAUGUAGACGCGUGUUAAUACUCUUUUUUUUAUAUAUUGGAGAUGUGUGGAUGACUGAGUAAGAGGCUCGAAUAGAUUGUAUGGGUUAAAUAUGGACGUGAUGUGAUAUUAUUUCAGGUUUAUAAUGUUACCGAGUCUGACUGUUUUAAAAUUUGGGCUUUAUGUAUUUCUUGUGUAAAAUGGCUAUUGGGGUCUCGUUGAUAAAAAGAGAGAGAGUUGACGAG